AUUAGCAGAUCUUUCCUUUGUAAACCACGUGGUUGACUGCACAGUUUGUUUGAGUCUCUGCCAUCAAAAUAAUUUUUAUAUGGGCAGUCACUGCUCAGUGUUCUGCAAGUCAUUUCCCUUGCUUGAGACCAUACAAGGUUAGAGUUUUUGUCUACUUCUUUCAAGGUUCAGCUAACUUGUUGCUACAGGUUUUUACAGACAAUUCAAAGGAACCCAGAGUUCUGAGGUUCCCAGGAGAAGAAAUGCGGGUAAAUCAAACCCCUGGUUGAUGUGCAGAAGAAACGAACAGGGAGAAUCUCAGCUCAUAGCAUUCUGAAGCUGGGAGGGAGCGUGGAGACCACGAGGAUGCCGUGGCCUCCGUGAGGGGCUGCGCUGGUGAACGCAGCCCCCAGCACUGAAUGAGCUCUUCCCGGCUCUAACUCAGCUCUCAAGGUGUCAUUUUUGCAAGGUGCGUCUCUGAACCACCUCUGGUAAAUAAAAGGCUGAAACAGAA